AAAGAACAGUGAAAUAGUACAAUUUGUGGAAACAAACACAGCUCGACAUUAGGGUGUCACCAGUCAUGAGCAUCUAACAUAAGUCUAAGAGUAUGAAAAAAAUACUAAAUAGUCUACUACAAUUCAGUACAAAAGAAGACAAAAAUAUGAAGGAGAAGCACUGUGCUGCGAAACGCCGAGCAACUACCUAAUGAUCUCCGCACGGUCUGCCGGAAGCAAUCAACCCUCGCUAGCAGGGCCCAAAGCUCCUGAAUCUGCACACAGAGUGCAGGGAGUAAUGUGAGUACUCCAACUCAGUGAGUAAUAAAAAUAAAUGAAGGCUGAGCGAUAAGAAAACACGUAAAAUCACAGCAAAAUGCUAUAAAAAGACAGCGAAAAACCUUUGCAAAGCAACAAAAUAGUGAAAUCUCAUAAAACACCUUAGUUCAGUAUAAGAUUCUUUAAAACAUCUUUUAAUAGUUAAACAAGUGAAUGAAAAGCAGCGAGAAAAGGAUAAACACAUAAAAUCAGCCCCUCGGGCACAAUAUCAACAGAAUCAGCCCCUCGAGCAAUAACCUAGAACCAUAUCAGCCCCUCGGUCUAUAUCACAUAUUACACUGGGUACCCGCGCUCACNNNNNNNNNNNNNNNNNNNNNNNNNNNNNNNNNNNNNNNNNNNNNNNNNNNNNNNNNNNNNNNNNNNNNNNNNNNNNNNNNNNNNNNNNNNNNNNNNNNNNNNNNNNNNNNNNNNNNNNNNNNNNNNNNNNNNNNNNNNNNNNNNNNNNNNNNNNNNNNNNNNNNNNNNNNNNNNNNNNNNNNNNNNNNNNNNNNNNNNNNNNUGGUGUAAAACUCAGGCCAUCGGCCUCAUAUCAUGAAUAAACUCAAUAUCUCUACGGCUCGCAACCCAAUCCCAUAAUAACCUCAAAAUAUAGGCCCUCCGCCCUACUCAGUCAGAAACCUCUAAAGCCACCCGGGCACAGUAAAUAUGAUGUUCAACUCAAAAUAUCAUUUAAGAUGUCAAAAUAGUAUAAACAUGGUCGAGUUAUGAAAACAGUGGAAUAUAACAUGACUGAGUACAAAUAUAAAUUCAAAACAGUGAGGAAUAGGAGUAAAAAUCCCCUAAGAGUUCAAAACAGUUGGCACGAGGCCCAAAUAUGGCAUUCAGCCCAAAACAUGAUGAUAACAAACAGUUUUCAAUCAAAUACGCAGUAAAACAGUCAUUCGGGACGGACAAAGUCACAAUCCCCAACAGUGUAUGACUCUAUGCUCGUCAUCUAGCGUGUGCGUCACCUCAAUAUAGCACAACGAUAUGGAAUCCGGGGUUUCAUACCCUCAGGACAACAUUUACAAUCAUUACACACCUCUAUCCGGUCCAAACUCUAGCCCGCGAUGCCUUUGCCUCUCGAAUCGGCCUCCGGAUGCUCCAAAUCUAACCAAAAUCAGUGCAAAGCCAUCAAUAUAUGCUAAGGGAACAAACCCACUCGAAAGAAAUCAAAUUACAACACAAAUCCCGAAAUUGGCCAAACCCGACCCCUGGGCCUACGUCUCGGAAUCCGAUAAAGAUUACAUCAAUGGACUCCUUAUCACUCCCCGAGUUCAUUCAUAUCAAAAUUACCAAAAUCUAACCACAAACGACCCCUCAAAUCCCAAAUUCUAGGUCUCCAAUUACAAGCCCUAGUUCUUCAAUAUUUAGGCUUAAAUUCUACAAAUUCCAUGAUUAAUUAGGUACAAAUCACAUUAAGAUUGAGUAUUAAGUCCAUAAAUCUUACCUCCAAGUGUUCCCCCUUGAUUCCCUCUUCAAUCCCCUUCAAAAAGCUUCAAAAUUGCCCAAAAAUGGAGGAACUUAGACCCAAAAUCGCGGAAAUAGGUCUUUUAAACAUUCUGCUCAGCACUUAAAUUCUCUUCUUCGCGAAUGCGGUCAACGCCUCGCGUUCGCGAAGCACAAACUCAUGUUGACCAUUUUUCCUUCAUUGCAAUCGCAACUCGCCGUGCGCGAAAACGAAGGCUUGGUUCCAAAAUCAUCGCGAACGUGAUUCCCUACCCACAAACGCGAAGAACAAAUCGACCUGGACCCAACUGCUCACUUUUCCUCUACGCGAACGCGGCUAAACCCUCGCGAACGCGAUGACCACGAGCCCCAGCCCAUCGCGAAUACGAGACCACCUUCACAAAUGCGAAGGCUAAUUCCACUACCUCACGUCCUAACCCUUUGCGAUCGCGGGACAUCCAUCGCAAACGCGACGGUCAAAAACCUACAACACCGACAAUAGUUUUUCUGCAAUUUCCUUUAACACGAAAUGAUCCGUUUAACCACCCGAAACUCACCUAUGGCCGUCGGGACCUCAACCAAACAUUCCAACAUAUCCUUUAACAUCAUUCAAACUUGUUCCAACCUUCGGAACGCUCAAAACAACAUCAAAACACCAAAUUUCCAUUAGAUUCAAGCCUAAGAAUUCCAAAAUCUUCCAAAUUCCGCUUUCGAUCAAAACGUCUAUCAAACCACGUCCGAAUGACCUAAAAUUUUGCACACACAUCCAAAAUGACACAACGGACCUACUGCAACUUCUGAAAUUCUAUUCCGUCCCCUAAAUCAAAAUUUCACCUACCAACCGGAUAAUGCCAAAAUUUCAAUUUCGCCAAUUCAAGCCUAAAUCUACUCCACACCUCCAAAACACAUUCCAAUCACGCUCAUAAGUCCCAAAUCACCUCUCGAAGCUAUCCGAACCAUCAGAAUUCACAUCCGAACCUUUUUUCACAUAAGUCAACAUUCAGUUGACUUUUCUAACUUAAGCUUCCUCAAAAGAGACUAAGUGUCUCAAACCUUACCAAAACCUCUUCGAACCCGAGCCAACCAACCCGGUAACAUAAAAUACAGCUGAACAAGGCAAUAAGAAGUAGAAAUGGGGAAAAUAGAGCGGUAACUCAUGAAACGACCGGUCGGCUCGUUAUAGAGGGAAAUGAUGGCUUUUUGCACAUUGGAUAGUGAUGGGUUUUGGGGGCUAGGUGUGAUAGUAGAGAUGGGUGAUUGCGAGUGAGAAGAAGAGUAGAGCUCCUUGAAAUAUUUGACUAUUGCGUCUUUGAUUUCCAGGGGUUCAUACUGCCAAUUUCCUGCCUCAUCCAUGAGGGAGAGGAUUUUGUUUCUCCUUCUUCUAUUAAGGGUUGAGGUUUGGAAGAAUCUGGUGUUGACAUCACCAUUAGAAAGCCAAUUUAUUCUAGCUUUCAACUUCCAGAAGUCUUCCUCAUUUUUCAGGAUUGAGUCAAGAUCCUCGAUGAUAGUGUUUUCUAAGUUUUGGAGGAAAUAACUAAAUUGGUAGUUUGGAGAUUUUUGGAUCUUAGCAAUCCUGGCCAGUAAUCUCUUUUUUUUGUAUAAUAUGUUCCUAAAUGUAUUCUUGUUCCAAUUGGCACACCUACUUUUUCCCGAAGGAGAUAGAAGAGUUUUUCCAAUUAAAGUGACAAUAAUCAAAAUGGAAUUAUUUAUUGAAAUUCAGAGUCACCACUUGGGAUAAUUAUACGGUGUCCCAAGACACCAGUUUAUUUUAAAUCCUAAAUCGAGGAAAAUUGACUCUGUUUUAAAGGUCUCCGAAACCAGAAGACCGAGUAAAGAAUUUUGUUAACCUAGGAGAAGGUGUUAGGCAUUCUCGAGUUCCGUGGUUUUAGAACGAUCACUUUAAUCAUACCUAGCUUAAUUAAAUUGUUUAAUUACAUGUUUUAGAACCUAUAUGUGUUUUACCUGUUACCGCUUUUAAUUGUUUGAUUAUUCGUAAUUAUGAAAUUAUCUUGAAACGAGUCACGCGUACGUGUACUCAUUUUGUUUGACGCAUCAAGAAUCAUGUCACGCGUACGUGUACACAAUUAAUCAUGCUUUGUUAAUAUUAAGAAAAUUCGGCCGAAGUUGCGCGAAGACAUACUUUGGUUUAUUUUUAGGAGUCAUAAUCAUGUCACGUGAAAGUGUACACAAUUACGAUAAUUUUUUAGGAGUCAAAUCCAACCCAUAUACCUGGCAACCUAGCAUUAUAGGAUUCAUCAUUAGUUAAAAGACUUUAAUGCAACUCAAACAACAGAUAAUCUUAUACUAUGAUAUCACUAAGUGUAUUAAGCCAAGAAAAGAAUUCAAACAAAUUCAUCACAUUAAGCACCUAAAAACGUGACAACAAUCAGAGACCCGCAUAUAGUGUUAUCAAACUAAAACAAAAGAGAAGAAAGAAUGGACCUCAAGUAGCCGCACUUUCCAAUACACAAGAUCUCGAGUUCUGAUUACAAAGCAAAUUGAGCAUUUGUUCCGAAAAAACAACAACAUUUGACCAGAGAUUUGAACGGAAAAUAGGGACAAUAAAACUGGAAAUGAAGCCACGAUCGACAACACUCAACGGACAACCUCACUGACUCAAACUCCCAAAAGCAAACGAGAAGGUGAUGAGAAUAAGAAAGUAGAGCAGCAAUGGCAUGGAGCAGUAUCUGUCGUCAAACGCCAGCCAACCAGUCAUCACCUCCGGAGGCGGCGAGGCAGCGAGAACUGAAAAAGAGGCGAAGAGGGGAUGACGACAACAGUGGUCGUGGUGGCUGUUAGCUCUAGAAAGGAGGAGUUAGUCGGCUGUCUCUUUCUUUCAUGGUGUUUGGCAGCGGCAAGAAGGUGAUGAAGGAUGGUCUGGUGGCUGGAAUUGGAGGUCUGGUCGCUUGUGUUUUGGGAGUUGCGGCUGGAAUUUUGAAGAGAGGUGGGGUGCGAUUGGGUUCUUUUGU
rnacentral:lncRNA from 1 species